GUUGAUCAUAAGUAUCGCCGAGCCCAUUCACUUGUUUUCAGAAGCGUGGAUGCUUAUUACUUUUGUUUCCAUGAGAUGUGAUCUGGUGAAGAUGCUUUUGAGACUGCAAAGAGUUGACGUUUCUUCUUCUCCUUAAUCUCAUUAGCUUUUGGUUUUAGUUCUUAUUCCUUCUCUCUGUUCUUGAGAGUUUAUUAAUUUUCUGAAUUUUUUGUUUUGCAGAAAAGAAGAAUGGUUGUAAUAUUUUGACCACGUUUAAGCAAAACGAGAGACUUGAAUCAGUUUCAGUUACAUCUCAUCAUUACAGUUCAUCAAAAGCAGGUUUUGGUUACAAUAAACUUUUCUCUAGAAAAAUUGGAACGUGUUUUGGAUACAAGAUCAAAUCUGGUGGAGUUUUAUAUUGGACAAAAACAGAAGAGGGCAACAACUGCUGCAAAAACCGGUUGCAAGAUGAUCAAAUCUUUUUGAGUUACUGUGUGUGUUUGUUGCUUGGAACUGCAACUUAUGGCAUUGAUUCUCUCCCAGGCUAGGCAAGCUCUUCUCACUCAAAGAAUUGCUUCAGCACUUCAAGCAGCCAUGAUGUUAAGACCACGUUUUGUAAGACAUUUGGUAUGAUGUUUAAGACUUGAUGUUUUGUAAGACUUGUUUUUAAUAUGAUGUUUGUCCUUGUGAUGUUUUGUGUAAGACAUGUUUGGAUGUUUAAUAAAAAUAAGAGUGUUUUAAAUGCAAA